rnacentral:rRNA from 1 species
GACGAACGCUGGCGGCGUGCUUAACACAUGCAAGUCGAACGGUAAGGCCCUUCGGGGUACACGAGUGGCGAACGGGUGAGUAACGCGUGGGUGAUCUGCCCUGCACUUCGGGAUAAGCCUGGGAAACUGGGUCUAAUACCGGAUAGGACCAUGGACUUCACGGUUUGUGGUGGAAAGCUUUUGCGGUGUGGGAUGGGCCCGCGGCCUAUCAGCUUGUUGGUGGGGUAAUGGCCUACCAAGGCGACGACGGGUAGCCGGCCUGAGAGGGUGUCCGGCCACCCAUGGGACUGAGAUACGGCCCAGACUCCUACGGGAGGCAGCAGUGGGGAAUAUUGCACAAUGGGCGCAAGCCUGAUGCAGCGACGCCGCGUGAGGGAUGACGGCCUCGGUUGUAACUACUUCUAAUAGGACGAAGCGCAAGUGACGGUACCUAUAGAAGAAGCACCGGCCGAACUACGUGCCAGCAGCCGCGGUAA